UAAAUUUUAGUUCAGUUGGUUAGAGCAUGGUGCUAAUAACACCAGGCUCAUGGUUUUGAUCUCCAUUCAGUUAA